rnacentral:rRNA from 1 species
UACGGGGGGAGCAAGCGUUGUUCGGAUUUACUGGGCGUAAAGGGCGCGUAGGCGGCCAGCACAAGUCAGUUGUGAAAUCUCCGGGCUAACUCGGAAAAGGUCAACUGAUACUGUGCGGGCUAGAGUGCAGAAGGGGGCAACUGGAAUUCUCGGGUGUAGCGGGUGAAAAUGCGUAGAUAUCGAGAGGAACACCUGCGGCGAAGGCGGGUCUCUGGGCAUCUCCUGACGCUGAGGCGCGGAAAGCGUGGGGGAGAAACGGGG